UGCUGUGAAUCUGAAGUAUUUCUUGCUAUGUCACUUAUGAUUAAGAACCCUGUACAACUAGAUCUUGCACUGUCGCCCUUGGAUAUUGGGAAGUCUGAAGAAGCCUGUGGUUUAGCGCGUCUGGGCAUUGGAGUGGGCCAACUACCUGACGACAGGCAAGAUGGAGAUGCUCUCUGAGCAGCAGUUGCUGCGACCAUGAGCUGAGUAAGAGCCAGCAACCUCAAGGAACAAUAACCAUUCAAGAUUAAUGCACAUUUGGUUUGCCGUGGCCUGGGCGUCAUAAAAAAUGGCAAGGACGUCACUGAGGCUGCCUUGGAUGCUCUUGCCAACUAGUUGAAGGAGUAGCUGAAGCUGCAGGACAUUGUCGCGCUCCGAGAAAUCUUCAGGCUCGAUGACGAGCAGGCCGUGGCGAUCAAGCAGGGUGCCCUUGUCAACCUUGGAGUUGUUGAUGCUCUAGAUCAUGAAAGAGAGAGUAUUCAGGCCACUGAUGUGUAAGCUUCCUUCUGUUUAUACAUGACCUGUUGGGGAAGAUCAACUCUAAUGACAGCACAAUGCACUUGUUCUUGUUGUUGCUGGCCGUGAAGGCCUGUAGGGUGU